GUGGGCGGUGCGGCUGCUGGCUGCGCUCCGCGUGCGGGGCGGGCUGUGGGCAGCUCAUGUGCGUCAAUAAGUGAAGGCACAUAUCACUGCUGCACUCUGUAUCUGGCAAACACGUGUUUUUAUCGUUUCCCCCCUUUGUUCUGCACAGUUCUUCACCUUUCCCUGCCACCUGGUUGCUUGCCCCCCAGGCCUCAGAAUUUACACCCCCGCGUGUGCUUCUCGUGCCUGUAACUGUGUUAGUGCACUUGAAGCGACAUCUGUCAUUACUAAUAUGGACCAGAGCGGGGCUGGUGUGAGAAGGGCAGAGAAGAGAAAGCAAACAAGGAGAAGCAAACCGACAGAAGUGUUUGAGGACAGUGGGACUGAGCAAUAAGGGGAGGAGCGCGUUGCAUUGGAGGAGGAAAAUGCAGCGCUGAGUUCCCAGAGUCCUGUCUGAGCUGUGUGACUCACUUGGCAGCCUCCGCACUGUGUUUAGAGAUGUGGGAAAUAACAACACGCUUCCAGUCCAAAGUGUUUGCCUUAUUCCCCCUUCCUCAACGUGGGAGACUACCAGGAAAGUUCACGUAAGUCUGCACCAAAACUACGUGUUCAGAGUAGGCAAGUAAUAAUUAUGCAAGACCUACCGUUGUGCAUAGCCAUCAGUAAUUAUUUACCAGUGCUAAUGAGAGGAAUGUGUAUAUGAAAUUCCAGUGACUUCAGAAAGGCACCACCUUAAAUCAGUUGAAUCGACAUUACUUUUAUUUCUCAGAGCUGGUUGCCAUGGCUGUUGUCCCAUGGCCUGCUUUAGGAAAAUACAGUCUGUCCUUCAGCUGGCACCAUGUGUUGGGCUCAGCCUGCGGUCCACACUGCUCACAUGGAGUCUGACACAGCCCCACCGAGGGAGGCAGGUGAUGGCUGUGGGAUGCAGACCCUUGUUUUCUCAUCUGUCAUCAGGCUGGGUCUCGUGUGGCUCUGUGCAAACACAUCAUUGUUAAUUAUUCUCAUAUGCUUGUGAUGUGCAUAACUGCUAGAGUGGGUUGACUUUCAGACUGUGAUUCGUUUGGUGUUUCAUUGUAUAUGGUGGACUUGUCUGGAGGUACUUUUGAGGUGUCUUUCAAUUUGUUUUUCUUUUCCAGAGCACAGAAGCUGAGCACCAUGAAUAGUGCAGCUGAUAUCAGGAAGAAACUCGAGGUGUAGAAGACAUAGCGGAAAUCACUGGUUAUAUCCACCAGGAGACCUGAAAUGGAAACCACAGCUUAAAGACAGGAUGUGUGGUAAAGACACAUAUCAUAUAAAGGUCAUAUAAAUGACAUUUAUAGAAAUGAUAAAUCUAACCAAUUCGGGAAGAUGCCCCAUAGAAAAGAUAAGCAUUCAUAAAUGAGUUAAGAUCUGUUCUCCAGAUUCUAAAGCUUGUUUGUAGUCAUUUAUCAGGCGGUGUUUCUGUUUCUGUGAGAAGUAUUUUCUGAUACACAGAGAAAUCAGGAAAGGAAGGAAAUUGUAACUUUUUCCCCAUGUACUGAUUGAUCGUUUACUUACCAGAGGACCUCUGUGUCACUGCUACUUUUUGGGUUUUGGAAUGAAUGACCUUAGUACAACCCAGGUCAGAAAACAGAGCAAAUAAAUAAGGAAGUCUUUCCAAGACUGACAUGUUUGAAUCUGGAAACUUGUAAUAGUGUGAGAAAAUUUCGCAGCACACUGGGCAUUGCAACUAACUUUGAGUGCCUCAAUGCACAACAUUUAGAAGAAUAUGUCAAGUGAGUAUUUUAACCCUAACACUAGAGAUAGAAGGGCAAAAGGCAUUCAGGCAAAAUAUAUGAUGUCUCCUCAACAGGUUGCUUAUUUAUAUAUGGAUAAGUCUUCAACAUAUUUUUGAUCUUCAACAAGAAAUUGAGCUUAUCUUGCUGUACCAGGAUCCUAAAGGUCCCUUCCAACCCAAGCCUCUACCAGGUUGCUCACAGCCCCAUCCAGCCUGGCCUUGAGUGCUUCCAGGGAGGUACUUCUUGGACAAGUCAUUCAGUGGUUUUUGGAGUGAACUGUGAAAUCUGUGAGUAAUUCAUUACAUUUGAGGCCAUAACUAGUUUCCUUUCUUGCCUUCAGACAAAAAUGAAUACACUCCAGAACCAGGAAGAACAAAGAGUGGAAGGGGCUUUUACUAUAAAGUUGCUUCAAUUAUGUAGAGCUGGUAAUACUUCUGAUCACAGUACAUGUAUGGAUGUUUGCAGUUUCUUGAGACUUCAUAGAUAAAUCAGUGCAUACUAGGAAAGCAGUGAGAGUUCUAUGACAGCAUGAUCCUACUACUGUAAUUCCUCUCUGUAUUCUGCCACUCAAAGGGAAAGGAGUUCUCACUGCUGUCAUGCCUAUGGAAGCUGCCUGCCAAAUGUGCAAUAUUUUCACCAUCUACUGUUGCUUCAGAGGCACUUGGGCAGCUACAGAAAUUAUCCUUGUUCAGCUGUGAGAAGGACAUUCCUUUCUGACUCUCCCUUUUAUAUUGCUCCCUCUGUGUAACUCAGCUGCCUGUGUGGACUUGGAAACUCAUUCAUUCCUCUUCAGUAUGCUCCCGAACACUUGUCAUCAGUGUCUAAAAGCCUUGUUUUUCUCCAAUUUGCUUUAAUAGCUUUUCUCACCUGUCAAAGGGGGUCCAAUGAGGAGUGUGAUACUCUCCAGGAUGGUGAAGAGCCCUAGAGCACUUGAAAACCUGUCCAUCUCCACCACAUCCAUCAGCACCUGGAAUGUGAGGGCCCCAAUGCCACUCAUGGCUAUACUGAGGAUGACGCAGUAGAAGAUGAGCAUGCUGAAUUCGGCUGAGAUAAUGCAAAUGAAGUUGCUCAGCCCAUAGAGGAGCACAGCCAGGCUGUACAGGUAGAUGCGUCUCCCUGUGAAGACUGAUUGUCCUGAGAGCAGCCCUGUCAGAGGACGUAUGAAGAUGUUGAUGAAUCCAAUAAUGGAGAUGAGGAGGGCUGCCCUGCGUUCCUCCACUCCAUUCUGGAUGGCAUAAGGUACAAGGUAGACAUGGGGUAACACAAACCCCAUCAUCAUCCAUGUCACUCCAACUGUGUAAAUCUGGUACCCUUUGUUUUGACAGAAGAUAUCAAAAGCCAGGUACUUCUGCAGUGCCUGGAAGCAUGCUAUCUUCCUGGUUUGUUCCUGGAGCUUUAGGUGGGGAGAUGUUCCACUGGACAGCUGAGCCUCUUCCGCUCCACUCCCUGGCUCCUCUCCUGGGCUGGGAAACUGCAAUAGUGAUCCCAUUGCAAACUCCACUGGUCUCAUAACAGCACCACAAACACAACAGUUCAACAGUAUUCCUCCAAAGAUAAGAAAAGUAUUUCUCCAGCCCAUCUCAUCCAGCAGGUACUGAGAAAGAAGCGGCCACAAUGUCAAACCAAUAGAGACACCAGUGGAUGCCAUGGCAUUGGCCAGAGUUCGCCACCGCACAAAGUAGUAGCCCAGUGCAGUCACUCCUGCCUGGAAGCUGAAGCAUGACCCCAGACCUAAAGAUAAGAAUGAAAGAGAAAACAACAGUACGUGAUGUCUCUGCAGUGUCUUACAAGGUGAAAAAGAGCCCCAAACCCUGAUGUUCCCACAGGUGACUACAUCCCAUCCCCCAGAGAUUAAUGAUCAGUAAUCCCAAAUGAAGGGCAAAUGAGGAUGUUAUCCCAACACUGCACUGCAAGAUGGAAGAACAAUUCCCUGUUCAAAGGCAAAAGGCUGUGAAGCUCCUUUGCUCUCCCCUCAGAGACCUGUAGCCUUUUCCAGGGAAAAGCACUUUGAUAUGAGCUGACUGGGUGAGGUGUGUGUUAAAUGGGUGUGAAAGGCAAACCUACCCAGCAUGCAGUUUCUGCUGAGCUGUGGGAUUCUGAUUUAUUCUGUUUUACAGCUAAGUGAAAAAUGUGAGUGCUUAGACCGGACUUUUACCACUUCCCAGAGCAGCAGCUGGAUUUUGCUGCUGUUCCUUGUACUUACCAGUGAUGAAGCCAGCUGUUAGGUAAAGCUGGCUGAGGGACUUGCAGAAGGAGCUGGACACCAUGCCCACACUGCUGAGUAGGCCUCCAACCAUGACAGCAAACCUGCAGCCAAAGCGCUUCACGAGGAUGCUGCACAGAGGCCCUGGGAGCAGUCAGAAAAGUAAAAUAAGAAGGAGGUUGUUAGGGAAGAAAGGAUUGUUUUGUGGGUGCUGGAAUGCUGCAGUUAUCAAACAUUUUAGGCUGGAGAGCCUGCAGAUUGUCCCAGCAGUGAAAUUUAAGGAAGGAACCAGAAGUAGAGAAUGCAUUCCCUGAUCCUCCAAAGAGCUUGGUCAGCUUGUUGGCUAAUGGGAGUGCACCCAUGAUCUGCUUGGGUUUUGGACAUUAAAUAGGAUUCCUAAGCUUCCCUGUGAUUCAUAGUAGGUAAAAGUUUUGGAAGUGUGAUUCUGUUCUCAUGUUGUAUCGGUUCUACAAAUAAUUUUUGGCAAUUUUGGUGAGUUCUAUGAGAGUGGGGUAAAUAACAAGGUUCCUAAUGUCAUGGACUUUGGGAGAGGGUAAGGAUAGUUGUGACCUGCAGGCUGCCAAUGGGAAGCAUUUCUCUCUGCAUGUUCUGGUAGAGGAGGCGUUGAUGGCAGCUUCACUUUGUGUUCCUGCCAGGAUCUGCACUGUUUUCCAGGCUUUAUUACUAAUGUUUUUUCCUCCUCUUAACACUUAAAAUUAUGUAGGCAAAUUCAAAAAGGCUGCAAGCUCCAGAAUUAGGAAUCAGUCAGUGUGGGGAAAAUAACUUGUGGCAUAUUUGUGACCUAAAGCAGGACUUGGUUUGAAAUGAAAUCCGCAUAAUCAAGCGAGCAGUUGAAUGUUAUUAGCAUUAGGACUGUGUGUAUUUUGAUCUGCUUGGGAGAUUUUCACCUUGGACUUCGACUGGCCUUUGAAAAAGUAUUCAUCAGGCUGUGAUACAGCCAGUGACUGUGUUAUUUCCCAACAAAACUGCUGCAUUUGUACUAGUGUGACUCUGGAGAGUUGUAUUUGCAAUGCCCUUACAAAUUCUGUUGGUGAAUGUGAUCACCAUGAGGCUGCUCUUUUCUUGUGCAAUUAAUCCCUUUUGGAUCUAUAUUGGCUGUCUUUAUAUUAACUUUCACUGCGGUCCCAGACUCCCACAAAACAAUUACUUAAUUAUUGAAGAUAGAAUUGAUAUUUCCUUACAGAUGCUGCCAGACUUGUCUUUCCUCGGCAUGUUGGGACUGAGCUGCUUUUCAGACCAUUCCCAGAGCCAUUGGUUCCCAUUCUUUUCCUUCCCACUAACGGCACCCAGACCACAGGUCGUGCCCAGCAGCUUCCCAAGUCAAACAGCCACAGCACCGCUCUGUUUCUGUUGAACUUAGUGCCGAUUCCUUCUGCAGCUGCUUCACCCGAGGUCUUUCCUUCUGUGCCUUGCAACUCUGGGCCCAGCUGCUUCUGCUAAGGUGCAAACUCUCUUUCCCCCAUGUCCAGUUAUCAGCCAAGUACUGCACAGUGAUAUUGAACCUGCUGCAGCCAUCACAUCAGUACGACUCAGGGCUCUGCUUUUUGUUUUUCCCCAUACUGCUGUGUCACCUGUCAGCAAUAUUGGAAAAGGGCAACUGUGAACCAAGAGAGCAGCUCAGUGGGAGUCAUUCUGUGCUUUGCUAACUGGAGUCCACAUGGACUGUGCCACUGCCCAAGGAGCUGCUCUCAGCCCUGAACCUCAGAUGGUGGCCUGGGGGAGCAGAGCAGGUACGUGGAAUGGAAUGGAAGAAAGUAUCCCAGAUCCAGUGGUGGCUGCCAGCUUAUUUAAUCAUAACUGUAAAAAAUAGUUAAGUUCUCAUUGUCCUGGAGAAGCUGGGCUGAGAAAGAGAUCCACCUUCCUCGUUUUGGUUAUCUCUUAGAGUGGUGGAUGAGAAGUUGGUAUAUGCGGACACUUGGUGCUGGGCUCUGUGGGCAUGCAAGUAGCUUUGAGCAACCUGCACAGACCUCCCUGUCCCUUCCUCCCCAGGGAAAUGCUGAGUACCCUCCUAAGGCCCCAUGUCCAUGCUGGAGCCACAGGAGGCAGCAGAGGGCAUCCCUAUGGCCUCUACUUACCGCCUGCGUGCAGCACAGCAACCAUGAUGGAGGGGAACCACGACGUCUCGCUGUUGGUGGCCUGGAACUCAUGCUGGAGGUCAGUGAAGAAGACUCCAAUGCAGGAGGGGAAGCCCAGCGUCAGCCCCUGCAGCACCACUGCGGCCACCAGGACCAUCCAUGCCCAUCCCUGGUCCUGGACUUUGGCAGCUCCCCGCGCUGCUGCUCCUCCUUGGGCCAUGGCUUCUUUCUGCUCGCCGGCAGCCUGCUGGGGAAGGGAGUGCAGCUACCAUUCAGCCCUCAGCACAGGGAACGGACCUACGGAGACAAGGGCUGUGGGUAUUCCCUGGGCUCAGAGGCACCAGCGUGUCCCAAGCCCUUGGCAGUGCAUACUCUGGACUUCUUGCUCUGCAUUUCUUCCAGGGCCUCCCUUCCUUCUCUCUGCAGGAUCCUGGCAGAUUGCUCGAGAAAUGACUGCCUUCCCCUUUUAUAUUGCACAAGACAGUGAGCGCAGCCAGGUACAGAAUGGGACCACACCUCCCUUGAGGUCUGGAGCUGCUUCUGAGAGAUGCCAGGUUUGCUUCCUGUGAGAUCAGCAGUGUGACACAACGAGCAUUUCACACGCAUAAAGGCACAAAACAAAUCUUUGGCAGCUGGACAAGCUCAAGAAAAGCACCCGUAAGGUUUGCACCACACAGUAUUUAUUUAGCACUCGACUAACGUCCUACCCCUACAACAAUAGCUACAGCUGAGUGUUGUGUGCAGCUUUAAAAAUGAAUAAUAACUCAUUCCUGCUCAUUAUUUCAAGCUCGCCAUGGCAACAUGCUCAGAAUCAGUUCCAUACCUGGGGCUGGACCAGGCCUGGCGAUGCGAGGGGCAGAAGCGCAGCGCGGGCGGCUCAUCGUGGUGUGCUGGGUGCUGCUGCUCCAGCACUGCCCAGCAGCUCUGAUGGAGUCUUUUGCAACGUUAAGCUCAGCAUCAUUCUGUAAACAGGGCUGCUGUGCCGGCUGGCUCGCAGCCAGGGAAAAAAGGGCUGCAAGCAGAGGGGGCCUGUGGGAAGGGGCUCUCACAUGCAAAUCAUGGUGGUGGUGCUCAGCACACUUUAAUCCUUUGUCCACUUUAGCUGGGUGCAGAUAAUGCAACUAAUUCAAGUGCUUGUGUCUCUGGUGUGAAUGUGCUGGAUGAUGGCCUAAAACCUCUCCCCGGCAACAGCAAACCCCCCCAAAAAAGGCAGAAGCACAGCUCCUCUCUGUUCCCAGCUGCCCUGCCCAAUGUCUUAGCGUGUCCAGCAGAUUUUCUUCCUUCUCCUUGGAAGAGCUUUACAUUCAGCCUGCAGAUGAUGAUGGUAUCUAUACAUCAGCCUCAGUGAGAGCUGGCAGCUGGUGGGCUACCUUGUGAGGAAAGCAGCCCAGUUCUUAUCCAAAACUGCUCAUCGGGACACAGCAAUGGGAGGAGAAACCAGGAGAGUGGAUGGGGCAGCUCUGAGCUGGUAGGAUACCUAUGGCUGGGAGCAGGGAGGGCAGCAGGGGGAAAGGCUCUCUAGUUCACAGUACAUUCACUCUGCAUCCUGCUGCAUGGUUGCAGCAUCCUCUUGCUGCCCUGCCUCAGCCCAGUGUGAGCUGGGCAAGUGUUUAUGAAUGUAAAAUAGGUUGUGUGCACAGAGGUCAGGUGUUUACUGUAAACGGAGCUGGGUAGUAAAGUCCUGGGGGGUCACUCCGUGUCUGUUGGGGGUAGGAAAGCCAAGCACUUCUCUUGGUAAACAUCUCUAUGAGUGACUUUUUAAGUUCCUUUUCAUCCUGUGUUUUAUGCCAGGUGACUUUCUCAACAUCACAGCAUUGCUCCCACCUUCUCCCCUGCAAAGGGUGAGUCCUGCUGGCACUGAUAGGUCCUAAUUAGGCUGAGCAGCUUCAUCUGACUCGACUCCCCUCCCCCACAUUCUCCCCACCUAUUUUGAUUCCCAAGUUGCAUUUAAGCCUGGCUCCUUGCCUAGCGCAGCCUUUGGGCAGAUAUCCCAGUACUGUUCUUCUCUUGGCUUGGUCUCAGCUCUGCCUGACUGCCCUGAGCUCAUCGGUUACCAAGAACACAGGUGGAAUACCAGGUGGGAUGUCUGUUUUGGAGGUUCAAAAAUGACUCUCUCCCAGUACUGAAGACGUUGGCUUGGAGGUAGGAAAUGAGAGCUGAAGUGACUGAUGUAGUGGUGCAAGUGCCGACAGCUUCCAUUGGCUUGGAGGAAUCUGUCAAGAUAGAGCUUGCCCUGGUGGGUGACUGCAUGUGGUUCUCCUGCGUGCUGGUCCUUGCCCUCCUGAUGCUGUGUUCCUCCCCAUGUUGUCCUGUGUGUGCUGAUGUCUGGUGUCCAGAAGCUUCAGAGCUCGAUCUGAGAAAGAUGCGCUUGGGCAUCUUCAUGCUGGAGUUGGCUCUCAUUAAUGGGGAGUUAAUGAGUGGCUGUUUGGAGGAGGUGUAAACAACACUGCUGUUAGCUGUGUUGUAGGUGCAGACAGAGAAACAGCCCUGCUCUAAGAUGAUGAUAAAAAGGUGUUGCUCUCUUUUUGGGAUGUCUCCUUGCCCUCCUUGAGUGAUCAGGUAUUUCAGGGGUUAUUUGCUGGGAUAGAAGUUGGGUUAAAUCUUCAGUGACCAUUUCAAAACCAGUUCUAGGUGGAAGGAUGUGACUACGGUCCUUAUUUCCCAAACAAGUCAGUAAGCUGGGUUACAAAUAUUUAUGAGCUUUCAACCUGCAAACAGAUGUGACUUUGCCCAGGGUGCAGGAGAGCGUGGGCAGAGGGUGAGCCACAGUGUUAUGUGAAAACCAAGACAGCAUAUGGGCACUGAGAUGCACUCAUGGCCGCGGGCAGAGCUCUGUCAUCUCCUAGACUUGCAGAGAGGAAAAAUGCAGCUGUGGUUUCCACUCCCCUUUGUUGGAGCCUUAGGCCAUGAGUUUGGAUGCUGACAGAUGCCUCAACUAAGCUGCAGCCCUGUCUGGCAUGCAGAUAUGGGGUGGGUCGACAAGGCUUGAAGGUGUUGUCCUGAACCUACUGGAGUGGUUCAGCUGUGGUUGGUUCAGCUGUGGUUUCUGCUGCCGUGCCUGCAUGCACCCCUUGCAUGACACCGUGUGGUGAGUGUCUCAUCUUGCACAACUUCAGUGCCAAGCUCUGCUGUGGGCAUGUGUUUAGCCCUCCCUGCUCAGCUGCUUUACAGCAGCCUCAGGGCAGCUGCAGUGGGCAGCAGCAAAUUCUGGUUCAGAGUAAGAUUAAGUUCAUCCAAGUUUCCCCACUGUUUACUCAUCUACCCUCCUCCCCCUCCUCCUUUCCCCUCCCUGUGUCAGGCCUGAAUCACGACUGUUACUUAAAUUCUGGCAUCGCCAAAUCUUGACACGUUGUCUCUUUUUUCUCUUUUAUGUAUGAGAAAAUCAGAGAAAUGCUUCAGUUUGCCUUUGUUCUCUGAAAGUAACCAAGAAGGACUCCACAAUCUAACAGGACUUUUCCUCUUGGCAAGUCAUCGCAAAUGAAUGAGAACCACAUGCAGCCCUAAUGAACUCAGUGUCUGUGCAACUGAAGCCAAGAAGACUCAAAUGCACUGACAAGCCCUCGCUGCAGAGAGCAGCGUGAAGGGAGAUCCACGGUGC